AGAAGGUAACUGAGAACUGUAUACCCACACUCUCAAGUACAGUGAUGACAGAUCAGUUUUUUUAAACCUUGUGGGUACUUCUGGACAGAGACUUGUCUUACAUGUCAUAAGAACGACAAGACUAUAAAUCAUGAUUAAUCACCAUGGCUUACCUUAAUAGCCCUUGAAACCAGUUCCACUGCUUCUUGGAUGGUAGCAGGAGCGAUUUUUGUUCUUUUGAGAGUAGCUGGAUAGAACCACCUCAGACCAUCCUGUACUUACAUUAAGGAAUGUCGUUAUUCUGAACUGUUGCCAGUGCAUGCUGUUUCUCAAGAGUAUCCCAGAAGGAAAGGGGAAAGCAAGUGAGCAAGAGUUUCUUCUUCCUUAGUUCAUACGGGUCACCCUGGGAGUUGCACAGACUGUGAUGUGGAGGCUGCCUGGUAAUUAAGAUGGACCUUCUAGGUCUUCCUGCCUUGCAUAAAAGGGAUGCUUUGGUUGCUAUUCGCAAUUUCAGCAGUACAGGCUGUCUCCUGCUGACAGCAGAACAGUUCCAGUUCCAGGCAGCAGAGGACAGUAACACAUGACUUGCUCACAUGAUUCAGUUUGCAAUCUUUUUCUAAUCCGUACUGUCUUUUUUAAUGUGUUUAUGGGAUAGCCACACCUCUAAGCUCAAGCAUCAGUCGUUUACAGGUCUAAUUCCCCUGGUGUGUCCUCCCCUCCAUACCCUUCAUCACUGACGGGGUGGCAGGUCAGCCUUGGCUCCCCUUCAUUCUCAGAUUUGGCCUUUGUGCCGAGAGCUGACUCAACACCUGUUCCUAGCUUAAUGGGGCCGAAGUCUACUUUAUACGUCAUGUGGCACAAGCUUUUAACCUCUGAAAUGCCAUACCUCUGUGGAUUGCCUGGCAAAACCACCAGCCGCUGUUUUUCAUGAGUAUCGCUGCAGAAGGGACUAUGAGGAGCAGCAGCAUAUCUGCUGACCACCACCCCCCCCGCCCCAUAAUGUUACUUAGUUGGCAGUUCAUGUCAUGGUAUCACUGCCCCUGGGAAAGUCACAUGCGCUGUUUUGCAGCGUUCUUCUGGUCAUUGUUUAGAAACUGAUGGAGAAACCAAACAUGUUUUCCAGCAUUUCAUUUUGAUAAGAAACCAGUACUGAAUGAAUGCUUCAUAACAUCGUGCUAGGAAUCUACUCUGUUCCUAACAGCUUUAACACAACCUGCCAUAUGCAGUGGCAGGAGGAGUUUGUGGUACAAAAUUUCUUCUCCCAUCUUUCAUUUGUAGUGGGAUUCUUCCUUGGCUAGAGUUUAGGGCUGACUAUUCUAUUUCUUUCCAUACCUCCCCGUUAGUUAUAUUAGGGUAGCUUUUUGGUGUUCAAUAAAGUGUACUCAAUCACCCAGUGUGGAAGAUGGACUUCAUACAGCGAGAUGCAUGAUUAAUGGUUGAAAUAUUUGUGAAUUUCCAUUCAGAUGUGACUACUAUAACUAAAAAGAUUGACCUUCAGUUAAUACAAACACAUUAAAGUCCUGGGGAGAUUUUCUUACCAAGCUAAACAAUGUGGACUGGAAUUAUGGGAUAAGAAAUUCACUCAUGAUUGCACAGAUCUAAGUAAUACAAAUCUGUAGAAACUAAGGCUUGAAGAGACUUUUAUAUAUCUAAUCUGUAGAUAAUGAAGUAUUAGUCAUACUCAAACUAUUCCUGAUAUGUAUUUAGGUGUUUGUAAGAAGUUGGGUAAUGAUGGAGGUUCCACCAGCUGCCCACAGAAUCUGUUCAAGCCUUUUUGUCUCUAAGUAUCACCUCGAAGUGUGAGUCCUACGAUGGACAAAGUAUCCCAGUAGAGGCGUUAGUGAGUGCUAAGCAGAGUGGAAGGUUUAUUUUUCGUAUUUUGCAGCACUUCUGUUUAUACAUCUCAGUAUGUUUGCUUUUUUCACAAGAGUAUGGCAGUGUUGACUCAUGUUCAGUUUGUGAUCUACUCAAACCCCAGGUCCUUUCCUACAGGACUGCUGGCAAGCUGCUGCUUCUGCUGGUUUCAUGCAGUGAACUGUUCCUUAAAAAGGACAAAUAUUAACCUUGAUUUAUUUCCUAAUUAUUUUAGACCAUUUCUCUAACUUGGCUACAUUACCCUGAAUUCUGUUCUUGACCUCUGAAGCGCUUCGACCCCCACCUUCCCCCACAAGUGUGCAAUUAAAGUUACAUUUGUGUGUAUUUAUAA